rnacentral:rRNA from 1 species
UACGUAGGGUGCGAGCGUUGUCCGGAAUUAUUGGGCGUAAAGAGCUCGUAGGCGGUCCGUCACGUCGGGUGUGAAAAUCCAGGGCUCAACCCUGGACCUGCAUCCGAUACGGGCGGACUAGAGUUCGGUAGGGGAGACUGGAAUUCCUGGUGUAGCGGUGAAAUGCGCAGAUAUCAGGAGGAACACCGGUGGCGAAGGCGGGUCUCUGGGCCGAUACUGACGCUGAGGAGCAAAAGCGUGGGGAGCGAACAGG